GCCUCCUUAGCUCAGCGGUAGAGCGCGUCACUAGUAGUCUCCUCCAAGUCUCCGUAAUGACGAGGUCAUCUGUUCGAUUCAGGUAGGAGGCA